UAGGGACUCGAAGUUUUAAGACACUGGGAAAUGAACAGAAUAAAAGGAGGGCCUUGGCAAUGUGAAGACUUAAAUAAAGGUGGUUACAAUAUAAUGAGGAACUGGAGAAGUGGAGUUUGUAAAUGUGAGGCAUGGAAACCUGGUUUUUGACAAGAUGAGAUAAAGUUUAUUAUCGAAACACAGGCUUCCCAGAGGCAAAGUUCAGGUAGGAAGAAGAUGAGAAUGAUGGAUAGAGAGCAGAAAACAGGGUAAGGACAUUGGGGACUCC
rnacentral:lncRNA from 1 species